ACCUAUCUGCAGCUCGUGCCUAUGGAAGGGGGAGGGGAGGACGCUUUGAAAUGUGUGUGCAAGAGCAGUGAUUGACACGAAGUUAGACACCCCCCUGGCCCUGAUUGGUGCAUCUGAACAGGGAGCGGUGGAUUUUUGCAAAUCACACUACAGGCUGUAGGUGAUGCCAGAGGAACCAGAUUUUUUUAAAUGACAUGCCUCAUCUAGUUCUACUCGAACAUAGGGUCAGCCACAGCGCAUAUGGCAGAAAGUUAGUUUUAGAAGGCUUACCUACUGCAUCUUUAAGACCAGUGCAUUUUGAU